rnacentral:autocatalytically_spliced_intron from 1 species
AACCGCCGCAUACCGAACGGUACGUGCUGGUGGUGUGAGAGGACGGGAGUUAAUUACUCCCUUCUACUCGAU